AAUAAUAACGAUGCAUAACACAAAGGUCUCCGUCCUGGCCUUAUAUAUCAAUUAUAGCUGAACUUACACAUGCAAGUCUCCCCAUCCCCGUGAAAACGCCCUCUCUCUCCUCAUAAGAGAAAGAGGAGCCGGUAUCAGGCUCAACACGCCCAUGACACCUAGCCCCGCCACACCCCCAAGGGUAUUCAGCAGUGAUCAACAUUGUAAACUAGCGAAAGCUAGAUUCAGUUACUAGCUAAAAAAACCGGUCAAUCUCGUGCCAGCCACCGCGGUUAUACGGGCAGGUUUAAAUUGAUGACAUCGGCACAAAGCGUGGUUAAAUUCUCACCUUAAUAAAGCAAAAAAAAAGCCCGGCUGUGACAUGCUUUCGCUUUUAAUAACCUCAAUCACGAAAGUAGCUUUAACUAUCAUUGAACCCACGAUCGCUAGGGCACAAACUGGGAUUAGAUACCCCACUAUGCCUAGCCCUAAACUUUGACUACCUCCGCCUGGGAACUACGAGCGUUAGCUUAAAACCCAAAAGACUUGGCGGUGCCCUAUACCACCUAGAGGAGCCUGUUCUAAAUUCGAUAAA
rnacentral:rRNA from 1 species